rnacentral:tRNA from 1 species
GGAAGUACGCCGAAGCUGGAGAGUCGGGGCAGACUGUAAAUCAGUUGUCUCAUAAACUGAGCAGGUUCGAAUCCUGCUACUUCCA